rnacentral:rRNA from 1 species
GACGAACGCUGGCGGCGUGCCUAACACAUGCAAGUCGAACGGGGUACCCACGAAGGAGAAUUUAUUCAACUGAGUGGACUACCUAGUGGCGGACGGGUGAGUAACGCGUGAGCAACCUGCCCUUCAGAGGGGGACAACAGUUGGAAACGACUGCUAAUACCGCAUGACAUAUUCUUACCGCAUGGUGGGGAUAUCAAAGAUUUAUCGCUGAAGGAUGGGCUCGCGUCUGAUUAGCUAGUUGGUGGGGUAAAGGCCCACCAAGGCGACGAUCAGUAGCCGGACUGAGAGGUUGAACGGCCACAUUGGGACUGAGAUACGGCCCAG